AUAAGCGGAGGAAAAGAAACCAACAGGGAUUGCCUCAGUAACGGCGAGUGAAGCGGCAACAGCUCAAAUUUGAAAUCUGGCUCUUUCAGGGUCCGAGUUGUAAUUUGUAGAAGAUGCUUCGGGUGUGGCUCCGGUCUAAGUUCCUUGGAACAGGACGUCAUAGAGGGUGAGAAUCCCGUAUGUGACUGGGUGCCUUCGCUCAUGUGAAGCUCUUUCGACGAGUCGAGUUGUUUGGGAAUGCAGCUCAAAAUGGGUGGUAAAUUUCAUCUAAAGCUAAAUAUUGGCCAGAGACCGAUAGCGCACAAGUAGAGUGAUCGAAAGAUGAAAAGCACUUUGGAAAGAGAGUUAAACAGUACGUGAAAUUGUUGAAAGGGAAGCGCUUGCAACCAGACUUGCACGCGGUUGAUCAUCCGGUGUUCUCACCGGUGCACUCUGCCGCGUUCAGGCCAGCAUCGGUUUCGGUGGUUGGAUAAAGGCCUAGGGAAUGUAGCUUCUUUCGGGGAGUGUUAUAGCCCUAGGUGCAAUGCAGCCUAUCGGGACCGAGGACCGCGCUUCGGCUAGGAUGCUGGCGUAAUGGUUGUAAGCGACCCGUCUUGAAACACGGACCAAGGAGUCUAACAUCUAUGCGAGUGUUUGGGUGUCAAACCCAUACGCGUAAUGAAAGUGAACGGAGGUGAGAACCCUUAAGGGUGCAUCAUCGACCGAUCCUGAUGUCUUCGGAUGGAUUUGAGUAAGAGCAUAGCUGUUGGGACCCGAAAGAUGGUGAACUAUGCGUGAAUAGGGUGAAGCCAGAGGAAACUCUGGUGGAGGCUCGCAGCGGUUCUGACGUGCAAAUCGAUCGUCAAAUUUGCGCAUAGGGGCGAAAGACUAAUCGAACCAUCUAGUAGCUGG
rnacentral:rRNA from 1 species